AGAGGCGUCAGGAUCCCUGGCGCCGCCUGAGCCAGCGGCUGCUAGGAGGCUGUGUCCGCAAGCCAGCGGGGCGAGGCGGCUGGGCCCUGCGCGUCAGGUCCCGGCCUGGGGCACCGGGGCUGCCAGCGUCGGAGGAGGCCUGAGAACUGGGAGGAAGCUGGAGAAAAGAUGCCCUCUGAAUCUUUGUGUUUGGCUGCCCAGGCUCGCCUUGACACCGAAUGGUUGAAAACAGAUAUACAGAUGAUAGUGUCGAACCAAGUGGAACAAAGAAAGAAGAUCUGAAUGACAAAGAGAAAAAAGAUGAAGACGAAACUCCUGCACCUGUAUAUAGGGCCAAGUCAAUUCUGGAGACCUGGGUGUGGGUCAAGCAACCAGUCUUGCUCUGUUGCCAGGCUGGAGUACAGUGGCACAAUCUCGGCUCACUGUCACAAUGUCCGCCUCCAUGGUUCAAGCGAUUCUCCUGCCUCAGCCUCCCUAAUAGCUAGGAAUACAGGCGCAUGACACCACGCCCGGCUCAUUUCUUUUUGUAUUUUUAGUAGAGACGAGAUUUCACCAUGUUGGCCAGGCUGGUUUUGAACUCCAGACCUUGUGAUCCGCCCGCCUCUGCCUCCCAAAGUGCUAGGAUUAGAGGCGUGAGCCACCGCGCCUGGCCUGCAAUUUUCAUCUUUUGGCUGCAAAUAAGUUAUGUCACUAUUCUCAGCUGGGGGAGUGUUUAACUCACAUGUUGCUUCCUCUCUGUUAGACAGGUUUUAAGAUUUAUGAAUAGGUACUGAAUUGUAUCAAUUGCUUUUUUCUUUCUUGAUUGAGCAAUGUUUUUUCUUAUCUUUUUAUGUUGAUAAGGUAACUUAACAGUGAUUGGCUUUUGAAUGUUGAACAUUGCAUUUCUGGAAUUAAAUCAACUUUGUUGUGAUAAAUGAUUAAUACCAUAUUAUGUAUGGUUGAGAUGGGCUUGCUCCUAGUUCAUUUGGUAGUUUUGUACUUAUGUUCACAAGAGAAAGUGGAGUCUAAUUUUUUUUUUUCUGGUGAUUUUUGUUCGUUUGUUUGUUUGUUUGUUUGUUUGUUUUUGCCAUGGAGUCUGGCUCUGUUAUCCAGGCUGGAAUGCAGUGGCGUGAUCUCAACUCAUUGCAAGCUCCACCUUCUGGGUUCAUGCCAUUCUCCUGCUUCAGCCUCCUGAGUAGCUGGGACUACAGGCGCCCAACACCACACCUGGCUAAUUUAUUGUAUUUUUUAGUAGAGACGGGGUUUCACCUUGUUAGCCAGGAUGGUCUCGAUCUCCUGACCUCGUGAUCCACCCGCCUCGGCCUCCCAAAGUGCUGGGAUUACAGGCUUGAGCCACCACGCCCAGACUUGUGAGGUUUUAAUAUGAAGUAUUAAAGCUAUGCUGGUUAGACAAUUUGGAAAAUGUUUCUUCUCCUAUUUCUGACAGAGUUUAUGUAAGAUGUGUGCUAUUUCUUCCUUAAGCAUUUGGAAAGAAUUCACUUAUUAAGCCAUGUGAGACUGUAGUUUUCUUUAUAAGGUGUUUAACUACAGGUUCAAUUACAUAUAUAUAAAUAUUCAUUUUGGUAACCUGUGUUUGCUGAAUCAAUUUGUUCAUUUUAUCGAAAAUUUCAAAGUUAUUCUAUUAUUCAUUUAUCUUUUUAAUACUUAUAAAGUCUCCGGUUAGAGUUUGUGCCUUUUGUCUGUUUUGUUAAUCAAUCUUGCUGGAGGCCAUCAAUUUUAUUAGUGUUUCAAAAAAGCAAACUUUGAUUUUAUUCAUCCCUUUACCAUACUGAAAAUGUUUUGCUUAAUUUCCAAACUUAUAGUUCCACUGUGAUUAAAUAUUUGUAUAACUAAAACUCUGUGGAAUUUGUGUCUUCUCAAUGAUUGAAAAUAUGAUUAAUUUUUAUAAAUAUUGCUUCUGCACUUGAAAAGGAUAUGUAUUCUGCAUGUUGAGCGUAGUGUACCACGUAUCUCAGUUAGGUCCAGUGUGUUAAAUGCAUCCUUUAAAGAUUCUAUGUGCUUACUGAUGUUUGUUUAUUUUUCAGUGGCUGAGACACAGAUAUUAAAGUUUCCCACAAUGAUC
rnacentral:lncRNA from 1 species